UUCACUUUCUUAAGACUUCAAGAAGCUACCAAAUUCUCACCAAAAAGCUUCUCUUUGCCGAACCCAUAACCCCACCACCAUCUCCAUCAAAUUCUCACCAAAGCUUGGAGUUUUUGGAAGCAAAAGACUCUAAAAUCAAAGGAGAUCAAGACUCGACGAGGCGACUAUUAAGGGGGCGCAAAACGUAAAGAACGCAACAGGGCUUUGCUAUGGCCGAAGUCUUUGGAUAGCAAUUUUGUUAUAUUUCAGGUGUAUAGUAUCGGAUGUAACGGACUUCUAUCCUUGUUCCAGAAGUCCGCGAGUACAGAAAGAAGGAAUAAAUCAAUAGUGCUGCAGUAGUCGAGUCCUAGAGUGUAAUUAUGUUUUAUCAAACGGUUUUAAAUAUCUUGUUUAUACUCUGAUAUGUAUAAAGGUUUUUGACUGCGCUUUUAACCAUUUUUAUAUAUAUAUAUAUAUAUAUAUAUAUAUAUAUAUGUGUGUGUGUGUGAGAAACAGGGCAUUGCUUGAUAUGGGAUAUCGCUUUGUAAGACCCUGAUUUCUAAAGAUCGUUUUGUAUCGUUUAAAGAAGUUUUAUAAAAACGUUUUGAGAAUGUUUCGCGAAAAAAUUUAUAGUGAUUUUUAGGCUUGCUACGGGUUUCGGAGCUACCACUCCCAUUCCCUAGCGCCGGUCGCGGCCCUCAAUUUUGGGUCGUGACAGUGUGGAUGACUAAAAUGACAUUGAUUUAGACGUUUAUUGCUAUAUAUGUCACAUAAUAAAAUAUUGUACUAUUAGGUAAGACGUUUUAUAGUUUAUGCUUAAAUAAAAAAAACACGAAAAUUUGUGCUAUAUGAUGUCAUUAACCCAAAAAUAUAUGAUAAAUAUUAAUACUUUUAAAACUUUGUUGUUAGUACAUUGAUAGAUUCUUGAGAAAAUAACAAGAAAACUCAUAAAAUGGACUUUGUUUUCGCAUUAUACCAUUUUCUCAAAAAGUUUACAUUUAAUGUCACAAUUAUUAGUUUUCUUUCACUAACACCAUCUGUUCCUUUUUUUUACAUCGUUUCCUUUUUCUUCAUUACCAUAUUUUCGUUGCAA